rnacentral:lncRNA from 1 species
AUUAAUAACACAAUAUUUAAUAUAUAAGAGACAGCGAUCUCAAAUAUCUACGUACCGUACUUCAGGUCUUCGUCUUCAAACAUAUGACAACCGACCCUGAGCUAGGAUUCUCUCCAGCUUAUAUACCCCAAUGGUAGCUGUACCAUUAUUGAAGGAGGGGUGUUCUACCAAAGUGUCUUGUUUCUCGUAUCUGAGUUUCCUAAGGAACACCCCUUUAUAUUGAACCUGACCCAAAGUUUACCCGCGAAACAUCUAACUCUUUUCUAUGUUUAUCAAAGUACCAUAUAAAUAUAUAAAAUGAGGCUUCUGUCGAACAGUAACCAAUAUAAACAACUUAACCAUAGAUACAAAAUCAUCACAUAACCCACGCCUCAAAAACACAUGCGUCCCGCAUGUCUAAAAUAAAACUAACAAGAUAUAAAUGUUCUACACAACUAC